CCCUGCUUAUGUCACAUCGAGUUUAUUUAUGUGAGCACGCGAGUGUACUUCAAAACGUCUGGAGAAAUGGAAUGAAAAGACAGCACCGGCAUCCCAUAUGGGAACUGGUUUGAGUCCUGGCUGCUACACUCCCGAUCCAGUUCCCUGCUAUGGCCUGGGAAAGCAGCGGGAGAUGGCCCAAGUCCCUGGGCCCCUACCAUCCAUGUGGGAGACCUGGAGAAAACUCCUGACUCCUGGCUUCCACCUGGCCCAACCCCGGCCGUUGCAGCCAUUUGGGGAGUAAACCAGCCGAUGGAAGACCUCUCAGUGGCUCCUGGAAUCUCCUCAAGGCCAGGAGAGGGUCUCCCUUCAGCCUUGACUUUGGCUGUGAGACGGAGCUCAGGCCCCUGACCUCUGGACUGUACCAUGCCACCCACAGGCUGGGACAGAGGACAGUGGUCGCCUGCAGAGCAGCGGGGCCUUCCUCCAUGCCUCUGUGCCACUUGUGUGUCUUCAGACCCCAAGAGAACUGGCUGGGUCCAGGUUUGGUCCCGGCCAGGCACACCC